AUUGACCGCUGUCUGCAGGCCUAACACAUGCAAGUCGAGCGGAUCGUCGGACGGGUGAGUACUGCCUAGGACUCUGCCUUGUAGUGGUGGAUAACGUCCGUCAACGGGCGCUCAUACCGCAUACUAUCAGAUGAGCCUAGGUCGGAUUGGCUAGUUGGUGGGGUAAAGGCCUACCAAGGCGACGCUCCGUAACUGGUCUGAGAGGAUGAUCAGUCAGACUGGAACUGAGACACGGUCCAGACUCCUACGGGAGGCAGCAGUGGGGAAUAGUGGACAAUGGGCGAAAGCCUGAGCCAGCCAUGCCGCGUGUGUGAAGAAGGUCUUCGGAUUGUAAAGCACUUUAAGUUGGGAGGCGUGACCCGCAGAAGAAGCACCGGCUAACUCCGUGCCAGCAGCCGCGGUAAUAC
rnacentral:rRNA from 1 species